rnacentral:rRNA from 1 species
UACGUAGGGUGCGAGCGUUGUCCGGAAUCAUUGGGCGUAAAGGGCGCGUAGGUGGCUUCUCAAGCGUGUGGUGAAAGCCUGGGGCUCAACCCCGGGUCGGCCGUGCGAACUGGGGGGCUUGAGCACGUGUAGAGGCAGGCGGAAUUCCGGGUGUAGCGGUGGAAGUGCGUAGAGAUCCGGAAGAACACCAGUGGCGAAGGCGGCUCACUGGCCCGAUACUGACGCUGAGGCACGAAAGCGUGGGGAGCAAACAGGG